UACAUCGGCCAUAGCGGCGGGAAAACUCCUGUACCUAUCUCGAACACCGUAGAUAAGCCUGCUCGCGUUUGUGGUGUGUGCUGUGGUGUAAGAGCCCAUGGGAAAGCACAAACGCUGAUGUGC
rnacentral:rRNA from 1 species